AUGUUCAGAUGCAUAGCGAACUGGUUUUGCUUAUCAGUUGAAGCAGGGCUGUUUGAACCUUGGCUAAUUGAGAUUAGUUUCUUUACUGAUGAAGGGUUUUUUGGAACUUGGCUAAUUGAGAUUAGUUUCUUUAAUGAUGCAAGGCUGUUUUGGGAGAUACAAACAUGUUUUCAUGGCAAGAGGUUUGAAGGAGAUGAUGAAAAUAUCAUGCAUCAAAACAUGGUAGCGAGUGGUAUGAAGAUUUGUUCGGAAGAACAACUGGCCGUGAAGCAUUGUUCUUGA